rnacentral:rRNA from 1 species
GGUACCUACAGAAGAAGUCCCGGCAAACUCCGUGCCAGCAGCCGCGGUAAUACGGAGGGGGCAAGCGUUGUUCGGAAUUAUUGGGCGUAAAGGGCAUGUAGGCGGUUUGGUAAGUUAAAGGUGAAAUACCAGGGCUUAACCCUGGGGCUGCUUUUAAUACUGCAGGACUAGAGUCCGGAAGAGGAUAGCGGAAUUCCUAGUGUAGAGGUGAAAUUCGUAGAUAUUAGGAGGAACACCAGUGGCGAAGGCGGCUGUCUGGUCCGGUACUGACGCUGAGGUGCGAAAGCGUGGGAGCAAACUAGGAUAGACACCCUGGUAGUCCACGCUGUAAACGAUGAGUGCU